AUGGUCUUCAACAACACCAAGGACGAUGCCGGUGGUCGAAAAGCGCUCCUACCUGACAUUUGCCAUGAUUUUCACGUUCUCUUCCAAACUGAAGUGGGUGUUGAUGUGAAGUUCGAGGUCGGUGGUGACAUAAUCGAUGCACACCGAUGUGUGCUUGCAGCCCGAUCUAAGGUCUUCAUGGCACAACUCUUUGGCCCCAUGAAAGAGACGUCUAGCGUCAUACAAAUCAAAGACAUGGAAGCAAAAGUGUUCGGGGCAUUGCUUAGCUUCAUCUACACGGACUCAUUCCCUAUGAUGUUGUAUGACAACGACAUGGAGACGGACAAAAUGCCAGGAGUUGUGAAACAAGAACAAAAAGAGAAAUCAGCUGAGGACAAAAUGUGA
rnacentral:rRNA from 1 species